rnacentral:lncRNA from 1 species
GGUCAGGCAGUUUUGGUACUGUGUUUAAGGCAUUGCUGUUGGGGAAACGACACACGAUUACGCAGCGGACUAAAGUUUCACCCGAACUAAUGUGAACCUUGUGAGGAAAAUACAAUGGACUUGGCAGCAAUAACUUCAAAAACUUAAAGUAAAUGAGACCACCAAUUUUUACGUGGAAAACCUUCUCGAUGUGAGAAGGAAAAACCACGGGACCGUAGUCCACUCAAAAUCCACUAUAUCAAAUGUAUGAGUGUUACAACCACAUCCUCCCUGUUCCACAAGAACAGAUACAGAGACUAAGGCUCCAAAGAGCAAUCUCCAAACACAAGAAAAACUCAGCAAGAGAGCAAUACAAGAGCUUAGAAAUAAGCAGUUCCAAACGACCCUAGGUUCGCUAAGAUUCCGGUCACCAAAUCAAAUCUCCACCGUACAAAUCCUAGAUAAACAGGUCAGGAACACCUCUGCAAAAUUUCAGCUCAAACCGAGAAGAACUCACCGUUGGAUCUUCCAAACACUCACGACAUAUGCUGCAGGAAACUCUGGAAAAUCCAGACACAACCAGCCACGCUAAAACUCGGAUUUCUCACAAACCAACCGUUGAAACCAAAUCUCCACCGUUGAAUCUGAAGACCACUGAGUCACGAAGCUACUCUCCAAAAAUCAGCCAAAUCGAAGCUCAUUUGAGUGUCCAAACGUUCAGAGAAGCAAAAUCGUUUUUUCUUCUCCUCUUCCUCCAAAACUCUCUUUUUUUUUUUUUUUUUUCUUUCGUGUUAUGUUUUUCUUGCCGACACUUUCUUUUUCUUCUUUUUAUAUAUAUAAUAUAUAUAUAUAUAUUUUUCUCCUCCACUAGGAGGAAUAAACAACAAACUCCCCCUCCGACUAGGUGGAGGAAACAGCCAUUCCGGCUAUCUCUCGGCAUACUUCAAGCUUCCCUCUCGGCAAUGACUUAGUCAUCAUAUCAGCUCCAUUAUCAUCCGUAUGAACUUUUGCAAGUUCCACUUCCUUAGAAGCAAUCACAUCACGUAUCCAAUGAUACCUUCUGUUAAUGUGUUUCGAACGCGAAUGAAAUGUAGAGUUCUUUCCAAGAUGAAUUGCGCCUUCGUUAUCACAAAGCAAUACAUAAUUAUCUUGCUUGAAACCGAGAUCCUCAAGAUAAUUUUUCAUCCACAACAACUCCUUACAAGCUUCUGUUGCGGCUAUAAACUCAGCUUCAGUGGUAGAAAGUGCAACACACUUCUGUAACCUUGAUUGCCAUGCCACAGCUCCCCCAGCAAAUGUUACCAAGUAACCCGAAGUAGACUUACUGGAAUCAGGAUCCCCAGACAAAUCAGAAUCAGUAUAACUGACAAGUAGUGGCUUAUCACCUCCAAAAGUAAGCUUCAGAUCAGAAGUCCCUCGAAGAUAUCUCAAAAUCCACUUCACAGCAUUCCAGUGUUCUCUUCCAGGAUUGGAGAGAAAACGACUAACUGUACCAACAGCGUGAGCUAUAUCAGGUCUUGUACAGACCAUAGCAUACAUCAAGCUACCAACUGCAGAAGCAUAUGGAACCCGUGCCAUAUCUUCUUUCUCCAACUUUGUUUUCGGACUCUGUUGACUGUUCAAUCUAAAGUGUGUAGCAAGAGGAGUGCUAACAACUUUAGACUUGUCCAUGUGAAACCUUUGAAGUACCUUUUCAAUGUACCUCUCCUGAGAUAAGUAAAUCAACUUCUCAUCUCUAACUCGAACAAUUCUCAUACCAAGAAUCUGUUUCGCUGGACCCAAAUCUUUCAUGGCAAAGGACUUUCCAAGCUGGUUCUUCAACUCUUGAAUUCUGCUCAAGUUCUUGCCCACAAUCAACAUGUCAUCAACAUACAAUAGCAAGACGAUAAAAUCAUCUUCACCAAACAUUUGCACAAACACACAAUGAUCAGAAGUAGUCUUCUUAUAACCAUGCUCCCCCAUAACUGACUCAAACUUCUUAUACCACUGCCUUGGUGCCUGUUUCAAACCAUAAAGACUUUUCUUCAAGCGACAAACUAAAUCCUCUUUGCCCUUUUUCACAAAGCCUUCCGGUUGUACCAUGUAAAUCUCUUCCUCCAAAUCUCCAUGAAGAAAAGCAGUCUUUACAUCCAUUUGCUCAACCUCUAGAUCAAGGCUCGCUGCCAAUCCAAGUACAACCCGAAUGGAUGACAUCUUCACAACAGGAGAAAAGAUUUCAUCAUAAUCAAUCCCCUUCUUUUGGCCGUACCCUUUCACAACCAAUCUAGCCUUGUAUCGAGGUGACAAACUGGUCUCAUCAUGCUUAAUCUUGUACACCCACUUAUUAAGCAAUGCCUUCUUGCCCUUAGGCAAUUUCACCAACUCAAAAGUAUGGUUCUCUGCAAAAGAAUCCAUCUCGUCACCCAUGGCAUCAUGCCAUUCAUCUUUGUGUUCAUCCUCUAAAGCUUCAUCAAAGCUCUCAGGUUCUCCCCCAUCAGUAAGUAGCACAUACUCACUAGGAUCAUACCUUGUCGACGGUUUUAGACCUCUCUCAGAUCUUCUAACAAUAGGAGGGUUCUCGGUAGUUGGUGUCUCACCAUGAUCGUCAUCAUGAUCACCAAUACCAUCAUCAUGUGCGGGAGCAUCUGCACCAGGUGUAUCAACUUGAACCUCAUCCUCGACCUGACCGUGAACCGAUGUAGAAGGAGCAACCACUGAAUCAAUCAAACUCUCAUAACUCUGAGUUGGAUUUCCGGACUUGUCAAUGUCCUUAAUCGUUUGAUCUUCCAUGAACACAACAUCUCUGCUCCUAAUGAGCUUCUUCUCAACGGGAUCAUAAAAUCUGUAUCCAAACUCAUCCUGACCAUAACCAAUGAACACACAUUGUCGCGACUUCAUCUCAAGCUUCGACCUUUCAUCCUUGGGAAUAUGAACAAAUGCCUUACACCCAAAGACCCUCAAAUGACCAUAAGAAACGUUCUUACCGGUCCACACCCUCUCUGGAAUUUCACCCUCCAAUGGAGCACUCGGUGAUAGAUUCAGCACAUGAACAACCGUGCUUAAAGCCUCACCCCAGAAAGUCAUCGCCAAGCCUGAUUGUGAAAUCAAACAUCUCAUUCUCUCGACAAUAGUUCUGUUCAUCCUCUCAGCCAACCCAUUUAACUGUGGAGUCUUAGGCGGCGUGAACUGAUGUCUAAUACCAUGUUCCUUGCAAUAAACAUCAAAUGGUCCAGAAUACUCACCACCAUUAUCACUGCGGAUACACUUCAACUUCUUUCCCGUCUGUCUCUCAACCAAUGCCACAAACUGCUUGAAGUAUCCUAGAACCUGAUCUUUCGUCCUCAUAGUAAAAACCCACAACUUCCUUGAAUGAUCAUCAAUGAAAGUGACAAAAUAUGAUGCACCACCAAGAGAUUUUGUUUUCAUUGGACCACACACAUCUGAAUGAACCAGAUCAAGUACCUCAGGUUUUCUAGAAGGUGCAGAAGACUUGAAAGAGACCCUGUGUUGUUUUCCCCGCAAACAAUGCGCACAUUUCUCCAAGUGCAAACCGGAGAUACCUGGAAUAGCUUCCUUCUUAGACAACACAGACAUUCCCUUCUCACUCAUGUGACCGAGUCUCUUAUGCCACAAUUCCAUGGCAUGAUCAUUCUCCAAAGCAUUAACACUGUCUUUGGAGACCUUAGCCUGCAUCAAAUAGAAAGAUGAAAGCUUCUCCCCUCGAGCCACAACCAAAGAACCACGUGAAAGCUUCCAUUUACCACCGCCGUGUAAACUGUAGAAACCUUCAUCAUCAAGUCUUCCCGUAGAUAUCAAAUUCAUCCGAAGAUCUGGGACAUGCUUAACAUCUUUAAGCAUAAGUCUAGUCCCAAUACUAGUCUCCAAGCAAAUAUCACCAAUGCCAACAACCUGAGCCAAACCAUCAUUCCCCAUCUUCACAGAACCAUAACUACCCGGAGUAUAGGUAGAGAACAAAUCCCGCUGUGAUGUAGCAUGAGUAGUAGCUCCACUAUCAACCACCCAACUGGUGUCUUGACAUACAUUAAUGGCAUCAUCUUCAAGAAGAAUGAGAAAUUGAUCGUCAGUGAUUGUCACACGAUCUACUUCUUCUUGCUUCCCUUGCUGCUUGUCUUUCUUCAACUUCCAGCAGUCUUUCUUUAUGUGCCCUUUCUUAUGACAAUAAUGGCACUCUAAAUUCGCAAAUUUGUUAGAUUUGUUCCUGCUCCUGUUCUUGUCUUUCUUGGGAUCUCUAGAUGAACUCCUCCCCCUUGACUCAGUGACUAACACAUCUGAUCUUGAGGAACUAGCAUUUGACUGCCUUCUAUUUCGCUCAUUCAAACACUGUGCUUCACCAUAUCCAUCGAAAUAACACCAUUCGAAGUAGAGUUACAAAGAGACAUCCUAAACACCUCCCAUGAAUCUGGUAGUGUACCAAGAAGCCACAGACCGUGAAUCUCAUCCUCAAACUUGAUUCCCAUAUCAGACAGUUUAUUGAGCAGCCCCUGAAAUACAUUUAAGUGAUCAGUCAUUGGAGUUCCCUCCUGAUACCUCAACUCAAUCAACUUCUUGAUCAUGUACAUCUUAUCAUUCCCGGUCUUCCGAGCGUACAAUUGCUCUAGCUUCAACCACAAAGAACGAGCAUCAAUCUCAUUUUCAAUAUGAUUCAACACAUUAUCAUCUACCCAUUGCCUUAUCAAACCACACACUUGGCGAUGUUGCAACUUCCACUGAUCAUCAGUCUUCUCUACAGGUUUCUUCUCCUCAAAGACUGGAACAUGAAAUUCUUUCACAAAAAGCAAAUCUUCCAUCUUGCCUUUCCAUAGAUGAUAAUUAGAACCAUUCAAGCUUAUCAUUCUACCCAUAUUUUCCAUCCUGCCCAUAUUUUCCAUUGCUCACAGAAGCAAAUUAAUAACCCAAAGUUAUCAAACCCAAAGCUCAAAACCAAGAAGCUCUGAUACCACUCUGUUGGGGAAACGACACACGAUUACGCAGCGGACUAAAGUUUCACCCGAACUAAUGUGAACCUUGUGAGGAAAAUACAAUGGACUUGGCAGCAAUAACUUCAAAAACUUAAAGUAAAUGAGACCACCAAUUUUUACGUGGAAAACCUUCUCGAUGUGAGAAGGAAAAACCACGGGACCGUAGUCCACUCAAAAUCCACUAUAUCAAAUGUAUGAGUGUUACAACCACGUCCUCCCUGUUCCACAAGAACAGAUACAGAGACUAAGGCUCCAAAGAGCAAUCUCCAAACACAAGAAAAACUCAGCAAGAGAGCAAUACAAGAGCUUAGAAAUAAGCAGUUCCAAACGACCCUAGGUUCGCUAAGAUUCCGGUCACCAAAUCAAAUCUCCACCGUACAAAUCCUAGAUAAACAGGUCAGGAACACCUCUGCAAAAUUUCAGCUCAAACCGAGAAGAACUCACCGUUGGAUCUUCCAAACACUCACGACAUAUGCUGCAGGAAACUCUGGAAAAUCCAGACACGACCAGCCACGCUAAAACUCGGAUUUCUCACAAACCAACCGUUGAAACCAAAUCUCCACCGUUGAAUCUGAAGACCACUGAGUCACGAAGCUACUCUCCAAAAAUCAGCCAAAUCGAAGCUCAUUUGAGUGUCCAAACGUUCAGAGAAGCAAAAUCGUUUUUUCUUCUCCUCUUCCUCCAAAACUCUCUUUUUUUUUUUUUUUUUUUCUUUCGUGUUAUGUUUUUCUUGCCGACACUUUCUUUUUCUUCUUUUUAUAUAUAUAAUAUAUAUAUAUAUAUUUUUCUCCUCCACUAGGAGGAAUAAACAACAA